CUUUACACUCACUACCUGUGUGAAACUGGAAACAUAAAUGUUUGCAGCAAGUAAAGACAGAAGCACUUUAAUAAUGUUUCUCCACCAUCACCACUGUAUAUGUAUAUGAAUUUGGGAGUCUACCUGCCAAGACAAACCCAGGAACCCAGUGAACGCAGUGAAACUCAGUGAAGAGACCCAGUGAACACAAUUACAAAAUACUUCUCCCACAAAUAAAGUCCAAUCUAAAUAAUUGGAA